GUUCUCCCUGACUCCUUGAGGGUCCUGAAGGAACGUUGAAGACGACGACGUUGAUAGGCCGGGUGUGUAAGCGCAGCGAUGCGUUGAGCUAACCGGUACUAAUGAACCGUGAGGCUUAACCUUACAACGCCGAAG
rnacentral:rRNA from 1 species